UAGUAGGCUUUUACAAUGAUGCAUCUGUACAACCAGGAAACAACAAAAAGCAAGUGGAGAAAUGCCGGGGAGACCUAGCCAAAGCCCUGGGGCAGUGAAGCCACCCCACCCAACACGACCAGUCUGAUCAUCUAGGCCUCUGUUCUAUAACAUUUCAGUGGACUUGUACAGUUAACUGUUCACCAACUAGUCGACAUCUUGCCAGAUAUUAAUUUUAGGGAAGGGCAGGCAACUUGUCAUGGGAAUAACUGGGAAGGACGGGGGGAAUCUUUGCACUGUGUCAAAGAGAAUUACGAUCAAUUCAGGCAUAGUUUGGUGUAUAUCAGCAUUGUUUUCUUUUUUUUUUAGGUGAAAAUUCACAAUUUUUUUGUUAUGUUCAAAUACAAUGUCCUCAAAAACAACCUC
rnacentral:misc_RNA from 1 species